AAAUGAAUAGACGGGGACCCGCACAAGCGGAGGAGCAUGUGGUUUAAUUCGAUGCUACGCGAGGAACCUUACCUGGGUUUGACAUGUAAGUAGUAGGAACCUGAAAGGGCAACGACCCGUAUAAAUCGGGAGCUUACACAGGUGCUGCAUGGCUGUCGUCAGCUCGUGUCGUGAGAUGUUGGGUUAAGUCCCGCAACGAGCGCAACCAUCGUCCUUUGUUGCUAACCCGCAAGGGAGCACUCUAAGGAGACUGCCAGUUUUUUAACUGGAGGAAGGAGGAGAUGACGUCAAGUCAGUAUGGCCCUUACGCCCAGGGCUACACACGUGCUACAAUGGUCGUUACAAAGGGUUGCCAAACCGCGAGGUGGAGCUAAUCCCAAAAAGACGGCCCCAGUCCAGAUCGGAGGCUGCAAUCCGCCUCCGUGAAGUUGGAUUCGCUAGUAACCGCAGAUCAGCCAUGCUGCGGUGAAUACGUUCCCGGGUCUUGUACACACCGCCCGU
rnacentral:rRNA from 1 species